GAGUUUGAUCCUGGCUCAGAUUGAACGCUGGCGGCAUGCCUUACACAUGCAAGUCGAACGGCAGCACGGGAGCUUGCUCCUGGUGGCGAGUGGCGAACGGGUGAGUAAUGCAUCGGAACGUAUCCUGGAGUGGGGGAUAACGUAGCGAAAGUUACGCUAAUACCGCAUAUUCUGUGAGCAGGAAAGCGGGGGACCUUCGGGCCUCGCGCUCUUGGAGCGGCCGAUGUCGGAUUAGCUAGUUGGUGAGGUAAAGGCUCACCAAGGCGACGAUCCGUAGCAGGUCUGAGAGGAUGAUCUGCCACACUGGAACUGAGACACGGUCCAGACUCCUACGGGAGGCAGCAGUGGGAAUUUUGGACAAUGGGGGCAACCCUGAUCCAGCCAUGCCGCGUGAGUGAAG
rnacentral:rRNA from 5 species